UUCUUCUCUUCAUCUUUCUCUCUUUUCUUUUCUCUCACGAGACUUGAUUUUUUUCCCGAUCUCACGAGACCUCGAGACCUUCAUCAUCAAUCAUCAAUCACGACCUCGAGACCUUCAUCAUCAAUCACGCCACCGUCGCAAUCUCCGUAGCUCUAAAGGAUGAUGAAGGUGAAACUGUUGUUAUUAGAUCGAGUCCAACUGAUCUGGAAGAUGUGAUCACACAGCCACCAGAAUGAGUCGUAACGUCUCCGUUAUGAAGUAAAGCAAAGUGAGUCGUAACGUCUCCGUCUCUCUUGGUAAUACUUGUUGUGUGGUCGUAGAGAAUUGUGGGAGGUGAUUCUUCCUCUUUGAUUUGUAUUGGGUUUCUGUUGUGUCUUUUUAAACC